rnacentral:tRNA from 1 species
GCCUCCAUAGUUCAAUUGGUAGAACACAAAACUCGUAAUUUUGAGACAUCAGUUCAAAUCUGAUUGGAGGCU